CCCAAGCACAGCUGCAGCAGUAGGAGCCGCUGGGCAGGCUCAGCAAGGGUGGUCUCACUGCUCUCACAUGCCUGUUGCACCUGCCUGUCUCCACUGAACUUUCACAGUCCCCCCGCAAUCCUCUAAAGUCAGCACCAACCAAUCAGGACUUUCCUCUUCUCUCCAGUUGAGCUGUACUUCUGAGUGGGUAACCCCAAGGCCUUUCCCACCUCUUAACCAGGACUCCCUUCCUCAGCAGACAGUCCCGCAGGCCUGCUGACAGGAAAGCUGCGGAACCAAGGGAAGCAGCUUCUGACUGGAAAAGUGAAAGGAGCCAAAAGCCAAAAGGCUCAGAUUACUUGUAGGGGCUGGUCUGGGAGGCCCUCGUCCAAGCUCUCAGCUCAGAGGAGAUGACAAAGAGACUGAAGACAAGGAAGGUGAAAUCGAACCUGUCCUGGCAGUUGCUGAUCCAGUCGCCACCGCAAGGAGGAAGUCACUGCUGCGUGUGCUUCUGAAACUUCCAGCCAAGACCCAGAAUCGCAGAGUGGGGCCACAGCUUCUAGGCCAGCCAACAGGCAGCUGGGAACCAUGGGCUUCAGCAGGCUGCCCUGGAGUGGGAGGCAGGGCCCCUGCACCUCAAGGCUGCCGGCAGCACCUGGAGGACGAAAGACAUUGAUGGGAUUUGCAAGGCCUGGGGACCUUUUAAUUCACAAGGAGGACCAACAGAAGCAGGAAGAGCACUGACCAGCAUGGCCCAGUGCCCCCAACCUGUUCCUGACUGUACCUUGGGCUCUAAGCCUUCCUGGUCCUCCACAGAGUGUGCAUGGAAGGUGUGGAGAGGCCACGACACAGUCCACAUCUCAGGACAUAACCAGUGGUGUCAGGAAAAGGACGAAGUGUAGCCAGCUUGAGGCCAACAUUUUAGCUCAGUUUUCACAAGGUCACCUAAUCUUUAAAUCGGAGAGGAUGGCAGGUGCUUGAGCUAUCCAGGUGUGAUCCUUGCUCCAUGGCAUGAGCU
ensembl:lncRNA